rnacentral:rRNA from 1 species
UACGAAGGGGGCUAGCGUUGUUCGGAAUUACUGGGCGUAAAGCGCGCGCAGGCGGCUAUCCAAGUCAGUGGUGAAAGCCCGGAGCUCAACUCCGGAACUGCCAUUGAAACUGUUUAGCUUGAGUAUGAGAGAGGUGAGUGGAAUUCCCAGUGUAGAGGUGAAAUUCGUAGAUAUUCGCAAGAACACCAGUGGCGAAGGCGGCUCACUGGCCCGAUACGUGACGCUGAGGUGCGAAAGCGUGGGGAGCA